UACAUACAAAAUAUAGAAAAAAUUGUACAUUUUCAGUUCAGUUCACUUCUUCAGCUAAAAAAGUUUUAAGUUUACGUCCAAAAAUGCUAAAGAUAUAUGCGCCUGCUCCUCGUAUACUAAAAAGCCUGAUUGCUAUAACUGAAAAAGGUAGUGGAGAAGCAAACGAGGAUCAAACUCAAAAUGUACAAACAACUGUUAGCACCCGCAUACAUGUUGAUGACAAUAAUACUAUAAUUAAAGUACGUCUUUUGCUGAUUACCGUUCAAAACUACCCUUUCGAUGGUUGGAUCUAUAGGACUGCUGAAAGGCGUCAUGUCGUACUGCUUGCUAACUACUAACUACUAACUACUGAAUGUGGAAGUCAGUCUCUUCUUCACAACCAAAAUGUUAUUAACGGAAAGAAGGGAGAUUUUACAGACAUCAUCCAGAUUUAUCAAGAUUUACAAUUUUAAAGCUGUGAUGGUGUUUUGUAGCAGCCCAGACGAAAAGAAGAGGAGAUGGCAAUAACAUUAUUACAUAUACGUGUAUAUGUAAAUUAAAUAAAAACUUAAUUUUUUAAUUUAA